rnacentral:rRNA from 1 species
UGCCAGACUCCUACGGGAGGCAGCAGUGGGGAAUAUUGCACAAUGGGGGGAACCCUGAUGCAGCGACGCCGCGUGAGUGAAGAAGUAUUUCGGUAUGUAAAGCUCUAUCAGCAGGGACGAAGAUGACGGUACCUGCAGAAGAAGCCCCGGCUAACUACGUGCCAGCAGCCGCGGUAAUACGUAGGGGGCAAGCGUUAUCCGGAUUUACUGGGUGUAAAGGGAGCGUAGACGGCAGGGCAAGCCAGAAGUGAAAGCCCAAGGCUCAACCAUGGGACUGCUUUUGAAACUGUCAAACUAGAGUACGGGAGAGGUAAGAGGAAUUCCUAGUGUAGCGGUGAAAUGCGUAGAUAUUAGGAGGAACACCAGUGGCGAAGGCGUCUUACUGGACCGAAACUGACGUUGAGGCUCGAAAGCGUGGGGAGCAAACAGGAUUAGAUACCCGGGUAC